rnacentral:rRNA from 1 species
CGGAGGAUCCAAGCGUUAUCCGGAAUCAUUGGGUUUAAAGGGUCCGUAGGCGGUUUUGUAAGUCAGUGGUGAAAGCCCAUCGCUCAACGGUGGAACGGCCAUUGAUUCUGCAAGACUUGAAUUAUUGGGAAGUAACUAGAAUAUGUAGUGUAGCGGUGAAAUGCUUAGAGAUUACAUGGAAUACCAAUUGCGAAGGCAGGUUACUACCAAUAUAUUGACGCUGAUGGACGAAAGCGUGGGGAGCGAACAGGAUUAGAUACCCUGGUAGUCCACGCCGUAAACGAUGGAUACUAGCUGUUCGGAGCAAUCUGAGUGCUAAGCGAAAGUGAUAAGUAUCCCACCUGGGGAGUACGUUCGCAAGAAUG